rnacentral:rRNA from 1 species
GACGAACGCUGGCGGCGUGCUUAAUACAUGCAAGUCGAACGGAAAGGCCAUGCUGUUGUUUGGUGCUCGAGUAGCGAACGGUUGAGUAACGCGGGAUUAACCUGCCCUAGACUUCGGGAUAACUGCGGGAAACUGUGGCUAAUAACGGCUAGUAGCGCCUACUGUUUAUUGUUGGUUGGAAAUUUUCGGAGGUUGGGGAUGGAAUCGCGGCAUAUGAGCCUUUUGGUGGGGUAGUGGCUUACCAAGGCAUUGGCGGGUCGCCGGCCUGAGAGGGUGACCGGCCACAUAGGGACUGAGAUGCCGGCAGGACGCAUACGGGAGGAAGGAGUGGGGAAUAGUGCGCGAUGGGCGGAAGCCUGGUGCAGCAACGCCGCGUGGGGGAUGACGGCCGUAGGGUUGUAACGCGUUUGAGCCUGUGAAGAAGAGUGAGUGACGGUAAUGGAUCAGGAAGGAACGGCUAACUACGUG